GGAUAAACGCUGGCGGCGUGCUUAACACAUGCAAGUCGAACGAAGUUUUUCUUUCGGGAGGAACUUAGUGGCGGACGGGUGAGUAACGCGUGGGUAACCUGCCCUGUACAGGGGGACAACAGCUGGAAACGGCUGCUAAUACCGCAUAAGCCCUUAGCACUGCAUGGUGCAUAGGGAAAAGGAGCAAUCCGGUACAGGAUGGACCCGCGUCUGAUUAGCCAGUUGGCAGGGUAACGGCCUACCAAAGCGACGAUCAGUAGCCGAUCUGAGAGGAUGUACGGCCACAUUGGGACUGAGACACGGCCCAGACUCCUACGGGAGGCAGCAGUGGGGAAUAUUGCACAAUGGAGGAAACUCUGAUGCAGCGACGCCGCGUGAGUGAAGAAGUAUUUCGGUAUGUAAAGCUCUAUCAGCAGGAAAGAAAAUGACGGUACCUGACUAAGAAGCACCGGCUAAAUACGUG
rnacentral:rRNA from 1 species